AACGAACGCUGGCGGCAGGCUUAACACAUGCAAGUCGAACGCAUCGCAAGAUGAGUGGCAGACGGGUGAGUAACGCGUGGGAAUCUACCCAGUUCUACGGAACAACAGUUGGAAACUGGAAUUAAUACCGUAUACGCCCUACGGGGGAAAGAUUUAUCGGGGAUGGAUGAGCCCGCGUUGGAUUAGCUAGGUGGUGGGGGAAAGGCCUACCAAGGCGACGAUCCAUGGCUGGUCUGAGAGGAUGAUCAGCCACAUUGGGACUGAGACACGGCCCAAACUGCUAAGGGAGGCAGCAGUGGGGAAUAUUGGACAAUGGGGGCAACCCUGAUCCAGCCAUGCCGCGUGGGUGAUGAAGGCCUUAGGGUUGUAAAGCUCUUUCACCGGGGAAGAUAAUGACGGUACCCGGAGAAGAAGCCCCGGCUAACUUCGUGCCAGCCGCCGCGGUAA
rnacentral:rRNA from 1 species